rnacentral:rRNA from 1 species
CCAUUCCAAACUGGGGCAACCUGGGGUCAGGAAAAGUUGAUGAUUCAUAAUAACUAAACGAAGCGCAGGGCUCGUCUCGGCGCUGAUACAAACGAGUUUCUGCCCUAUCAACUUUCGAUGGUAGUAUAGGGGACUACCAUGGUCGUAACGGGUAACGGGGAAUUAGGGUUCUAUUCCGGAGAGGGAGCCUGAGAAAUGGCUACCACUUCCAAGGAAGGCAGCAGGCGCGCAAAUUACCCAAUCCUGAUUCGGGGAGGUAGUGACAAGAAAUACCAUUGUCGGACACUUUGUGUACGAUAUUUGGAAUGAGUACAAUUUAAACACCUUAACGAGGAACAAUUGGAGGGCAAGUCUGGUGCCAGCAGCCGCGGUAAUUCCAGCUCCAAUAGUGUAUAUUAAAGUUGCUGCGGUUAAAAAGCUCGUAGUUGGAUUUCGGAAUGUCGCUGAUCAAAGCUCGUCCUUGUGGCGGUGCUCGGUUGGUGCUUCCUAUCUUUCGUUGGGUGGUCAAACACUCACGAAUCAUUUACUUG